rnacentral:rRNA from 1 species
CGUGUAGGCGGCUGGAUCAGUCAGAUGUGAAAUCCCUGGGCUUAACCCAGGACGUGCAUUUGAAACUGUCCGGCUGGAGUAGGGGAGAGGAAAGUGGAAUUCCUGGUGUAGAGGUGAAAUUCGUAGAUAUCAGGAGGAACACCGGUGGCGAAGGCGACUUUCUGGCCCUAUACUGACGCUGAGACGCGAGAGCGUGGGUAGCAAACA